AUACGGAGGGAGCUAGCGUUGUUCGGAAUUACUGGGCGUAAAGCGUACGUAGGCGGUUAUUCAAGUCAGAGGUGAAAGCCUGGAGCUCAACUCCAGAACUGCCUUUGAAACUAGAUAGCUAGAAUCUUGGAGAGGUGAGUGGAAUUCCGAGUGUAGAGGUGAAAUUCGUAGAUAUUCGGAAGAACACCAGUGGCGAAGGCGACUCACUGGACAAGUAUUGACGCUGAGGUACGAAAGCGUGGGGAGCAAACAGGAUUAGAUACCCUGGUAGUCCACGCCGUAAACGAUGGUAACUAGCUGUUCGGGCUCUACGAGCCUGAGUGGCGCAGCUAACGCAUUAAGUUAUCCGCCUGGGGAGUACGGUCGCAAGAUUAAAACUCAAAUGAAUUGACGGGG
rnacentral:rRNA from 1 species